UACGUAGGGUGCGAGCGUUGUCCGGAAUUACUGGGCGUAAAGAGCUCGUAGGUGGUUUGUCGCGUUGUUCGUGAAAACUCACAGCUCAACUGUGGGCGUGCGGGCGAUACGGGCAGACUAGAGUACUGCAGGGGAGACUGGAAUUCCUGGUGUAGCGGUGAAAUGCGCAGAUAUCAGGAGGAACACCGGCGGUGUAGACGGCUUCUGGACCGUAGCUGACGCUGAGACACGAAAGCGUGGGUAGCAAACAGG
rnacentral:rRNA from 1 species